GACGAACGCUGGCGGCGUGCUUAACACAUGCAAGUCGAACGGUGAAGGGAAGCUUGCUUCCCGGAUCAGUGGCGAACGGGUGAGUAACACGUGGGCAAUCUGCCCCAGACUUUGGGAUAACUACUCGAAAGAGUAGCUAAUACCGAAUAUUCAGCCUUGCAGGCAUCUGCGAGGCUGGAAAGUUUCUCGGUCUGGGAUGAGCCCGCGGCCUAUCAGCUAGUUGGUGAGGUAAUGGCUCACCAAGGCGACGACGGGUAGCCGGCCUGAGAGGGCGACCGGCCACACUGGGACUGAGACACGGCCCAGACUCCUACGGGAGGCAGCAGUGGGGAAUAUUGCGCAAUGGGCGAAAGCCUGACGCAGCAACGCCGCGUGCGGGAUGAAGGCC
rnacentral:rRNA from 1 species